AAGUCGUAACAAGGUUUCCGUAGGUGAACCUGCGGAAGGAUCAUUAUUGAUGGAAAAAGUUGCUGUGUUUUUUUCCCCUCUCGCUUCCCUUUACUGGGAAGAUGGGGUUGGGGGGGGCUCAGUGAUUCUUUCUUGUGAACUGGAAGCUUGAUGAUGCAUUCUCCCUCUUCUUGUAAGGGGGGGGGCGGAAUUGGGCUUUGCUUUUUUGUUUUUGACAUUUGUAUUUCAUUUUUUUGACUUUUGAGAUUGAAAUAUUAUCUUAAAAGUAUUAAAAAAACCAAGACAACUUUCAGCAAUGGAUCUCUUGGCUCUU
rnacentral:misc_RNA from 1 species